rnacentral:rRNA from 1 species
UACGGAGGGUGCAAGCGUUAUCCGGAUUCACUGGGUUUAAAGGGUGCGUAGGUGGGCAGGAAAGUCAGUGGUGAAAUCUCCGGGCUUAACCCGGAAACUGCCGUUGAUACUAUUUGUCUUGAAUAUUGUGGAGGUAAGCGGAAUAUGUCAUGUAGCGGUGAAAUGCUUAGAUAUGACAUAGAACACCAAUUGCGAAGGCAGCUUACUACACAAUGAUUGACGCUGAGGCACGAAAGCGUGGGGAUCAAACAGGA